rnacentral:siRNA from 1 species
CAUGUCAUUUUCUUGUUUGGUGA